AUUGAACGCUGGCGGCAGGCCUAACACAUGCAAGUCGAGCGAGCGGCGGACGGGUGAGUAAUGUAUGGGGACUGCCCGAUAGAGGGGGAUAACUACUGGAAACGGUGGCUAAUACCGCAUACUAUCGGAUAACCCAUAUGGGAUUAGCUAGUAGGUGGGGUAAAGGCUCACCUAGGGGACGAUCUCUAGCUGGUCUGAGAGGAUGAUCCGCCAAAUUGGGACUGAGACACGGCCCAGACUGCUACGGAGGCAGCAGUGGGGAAUAUUGCAAAAUGGGCGAAAGUCUGAUGGAGCCAAGCCGGGUGGAUGAAGAAGGUCUUAGGGUUGUAAAGUUCUUUCAGCGGGGAGGCGUUACCCGCAGAAGAAGCACCGGCUAACUCCGUGCCAGCAGCCGCGGUAAUUC
rnacentral:rRNA from 1 species